rnacentral:rRNA from 1 species
UACGUAGGGUGCGAGCGUUAAUCGGAAUUACUGGGCGUAAAGCGUGCGCAGGCGGUUCGUUGUGUCCGGUGUGAAAGCCCCGAGCUCAACUUGGGAAUGGCAUUGGAAACUGGCGGGCUGGAGUGUGGCAGAGGGGGGUGGAAUUCCACGUGUAGCAGUGAAAUGCGUAGAGAUGUGGAGGAACACCGAUGGCGAAGGCAGCCCCCUGGGCCAACACUGACGCUCAGGCACGAAAGCGUGGGGAGCAAACAGG